GACGAACCGUGCGAACGUUAUUCGGAAUCACUGGGCUUAAAGCGCGUGUAGGCGGGUCGCCACGUCGGCUGCUGAAAUCCCCCGGCUCAACCGGGGAACGGGCACCGAUACGAGCGACCUGGAGGGAGGUAGGGGGGGCUGGAACUUCCGGUGGAGCGGUGAAACGCGUUGAGAUCGGAAGGAACGCCCGUGGCGAAAGCGAGCCCCUGGACCUUUUCUGACGCUGAGACGCGAAAGCUAGGGGAGCGAACGGG
rnacentral:rRNA from 1 species